UUAAAAUAAGUAAUAAUGAUAAAAUUAGUAAUUUUUUAUUGUUUAAUUAAUUUUUUAGUUUUUAGAUUUUAUUAAGGAAUUCGACAAUAAAUUUUUUCGCCUGUUUAAUAAAAACAUGUCUUUUUGAUAAUGAUUUAAAGUCUAGUCUGCCCACUGUAGAAAUGAAGGGCCGCGGUAUUUUAACUGUGCAAAGGUAGCAUAAUAAUUAGUUUUUUUAUUGAAAACUGGAAUGAAUGGCUGGACGAGAGAAAUAGUGUCUCAAUAAAAAUUAAUGAAUUUUAUUUUUAAGUGAAAAAGCUUAAAUAAUUUUAAAAGACGAGAAGACCCUAUAGAGUUUAACAUAAAGUUUAUAAUAAUUUAUUGGAAUCAUUUGUUAUUAUAAUGAUUUUUGUUUAGCUGGGGUGGCUUUAAAAUUGAUUUAACUUUUAUAAAUUUAAACACUUAUUUGUGAUUAUUUGAUCCAUAAUUUUGAUUAAAAGAUUUAAUUACCUUAGGGAUAACAGCGUAAUCUUUCUUUAGAGUUCUAAUCAAUAGAAGGGAUUGCGACCUCGAUGUUGGAUUAAAAUUUUAUAAUUUUUAAUUUUUAUUAAGAAAUUCGACAAUUAAUUUUUUUGCCUGGUUAAUAAAAGUAUGUCUUUUUGAUAAUGAUUUAAAGUCUAGUCUGCCCACUGUAGAAAUGAAGGGUUGCGGUAUUUUAACUGUGCAAAGGUAGCAUAAUAAUUAGUUUUUUUUAUUGAAAACUGGAAUGAAUGGCUGGACGAGAGAAAUAGUGGCUCAAUAAAAAUUAAUGAAUUUUAUUUUUAAGUGAAAAAGCUUAAAUAAUUUUAAAAGACGAGAAGACCCUAUAGAGUUUAACAUAAAGUUUAUAAUAAUUUAUUGGAAUCAUUUGUUAUUAUAAUGAUUUUUGUUUAGCUGGGGUGGCUUUAAAAUUGAUUUAACUUUUAUAAAUUUAAACACUUAUUUGUGAUUAUUUGAUCCAUAAUUUUGAUUAAAAGAUUUAAUUACCUUAGGGAUAACAGCGUAAUCUUUCUUUAGAGUUCUAAUCAAUAGAAGGGAUUGCGACCUCGAUGUUGGAUUAAAAUUUAUUUUUGGUGCAGAAGCUAAAAUAUUAAGUCUGUUCGACUUUUAAAAUUUUACAUGAUCUGAGUUUAAACCGGUGUGAGCCAGGUUGGUUUCUAUCUUUAAAUAAUUUAAGUACUUUAGUACGAAAGGACCAAGUAUUUAACUAAUAGUUUAAUUUUGAUUACUAUU
rnacentral:rRNA from 1 species